UACGAAGGGGGCGAGCGUUGUUCGGAAUUACUGGGCGUAAAGGGCGCGUAGGCGGCCGGUCAAGUCAGAUGUGAAAGUCCUGGGCUUAACCUGGGGACUGCAUUUGAUACUGAUUGGCUUGAAUGCAGGAGAGGAUAGCGGAAUUCCCAGUGUAGAGGUGAAAUUCGUAGAUAUUGGGAAGAACACCGGUGGCGAAGGCGGCUAUCUGGACUGUGAUUGACGCUGAGGCGCGAAAGCGUGGGGAGCAAACAGG
rnacentral:rRNA from 1 species